UUUUUUUUUUUUUUUCUUUUAUAUAUUUUUUUUUCAAUUUAGUCAAAUAUAUUUGUCAAUAAAAUUUUAAUUUUUAUAUUAAAUAAAGUAUUAUAAUAUAAAUUUAUAUUCAUUAGAAAAUUUGAUAAAAUAAAUUAAAAGUAAAAUAACAACCAUAAAAAUAACAUAUAAAAUUUUUCCGCUUUCAAUUCCCUUUACUUCCUUCCAAAUUUACAACCUACCACUGUGGACAAUGAAUUUGUACGAAACGUCUCGUUAACCGCCAAAACUCCGGGAUAUAUCAAGCUAACUUUUUCUUCUACAAGGCAGAAAGCGACUCAGGCUGCCACUGCACACCCGAUACUUCGGUUGCCGGAGCAUAGUUUUCUUCCGAGUAGUCAAACAAACCACCUAACGCCACAAAAUCUCCGCUGUCAUUAUAGCUACCGUUAUAACUGUUGCCACCCGAGUCACCCGCUAGUCCUAACUCAAACGUGUCAUAACUCGGUAUCUCUUCCUCGAGCCCUAACAUUUCGCCGAAACCUGCAGCGCUAGAUGCGCUCGUUUCAGCAGCCAAAUCUACUUCCCCGUUCUUUUCCUCGCUGGAAAACGUCGGCGGCAAGCCAAGCUCAUCGUCCGAGGCUUCCAGAAGGUAGCCGAGAUCCGGCUGGCACUCACCUCCGCCAGCCGCUACAUACGCCAUAACCGGACCGGGAACCGGAACGAGGAUUUCUUCUUCAAAGCUUUUAAUCACCGAGUCAAGGCCUUGAAUAGUUGACUCAUCCGACUCAUCAAGAAUGUUAAGCAAAUCGUCUUGGAUCCACUUAGCAUCCGACGAGUUAACACCAGAGUCAACAAGAGUAACACCAUUAUUACACGAUUUCAAACCGGAAUCGUCCGAAUCCAGGUGAGUUUCACCGAGAUCAGUCGAAUUACAUUUGGAAGCAACCCGGAUGAGUUUAGACUCGGGCGAGUCACAGUCUGGGUCGUCGAGGGGACGUUUUCUGUUCUGUUUAGAUUCUUGGUGUUGGUCCAUUGGUUAAUAAUGGUUUCAGAUUUUAAAGGGACAUAGAAAAUCUAAGCAACGAGAUGCUGUCUUUGGGCUUAGAAUAGCGAGCAGAGCAGUUGGCUUAGCCUCUGCCUUUGCCUAUUAUAAUAAUAAUAAUAAGGGAGGAGAGAGAAAAAGUGUUUGGCUGAUGAGAAGAUAUAAAAGAGAAAAGUAGAGAGAGAAAAUAGAAAAAUGAAGAGGUAGAGUAGAGAGAGAAAACGCGAAGGGUGAGACGAGAGGGAAAGAGAAACGCGAAGGGUAUAUAUAGUGGUAAGAAAAGAAAGGGAUUGGAUUAAUAAAAUUAUAAGAUAGUGACAUGGCAGAGUGGGUUUGCUUUUCAAAUUCUCUCUUUUUUUUUAUUUUGUUAAAAUUUUAAUUAAUUAAUAAUUUGGGUGUGUGGGAUUUUGCUUUCCUGGAAAUUAACUAAAUUUGAAUGAGGACUUUGAAGUCCGCUCCGGGCCCACCGACGAAAUGAGAAAUCAUGUGGUGUGCUUCGCUCGGCUCCAACUUUGGUAACUUAUGUGUAUGUCCCAUCCUGGAUUUUGCUUUGCUGUUUCGCUAUUCUUUUUACGAUUUUUAUUUAUUUUUAUUUUUGACGUAUUCUUUCUUUUCAAAUCGAUGUCUCUAGAAGAAUAGAUGGUUGCUAUUUGUCCUCCAAUUUCUGAUUUCUGUUUUCCG
rnacentral:misc_RNA from 1 species